AAGAACGUGAAGCACUCUUACCAUGGGUUGAGAACUUGGAGAGCCAGAUGACUGUGUCCCAAACAGGACGUUGCUAUCUGUGUCUGGUAAAGUACCUGGGAGUUUUCACUGCUCCGUGGGGCCUUACGGUGAUGUUAUGAUCCCAUACAGUGGCGUUCCUGAACCUCUGAGCCCUGACUAAUUCUUCUGCCCUUGAGCUGGUUUUUUUAAAAAAAAAAAAAACAACAAAAGCCCUCUGUGGUCACAACCAAGAUGUGAUGAUAGACUUUGAGCCCCGAGAGUCUCGCCCAGCCCACUCUGGCACGUUUCGGGGAUGCUGUGAAACUCAGCCGAGCUGCCUGUCAUCACGAGAGAAACAAGACCACCUCCCUUCCCACUGGCACCUGGACACUCCAACUGCUCCGUCGAGGGUGGCUGGGGCGGCGGCUGGAAGUUCUGGUACCACUCCCCGGACGAGGUGCUGGAGCUGUCAUCGGCCAACGGCCCUGCUG